UAUUGUUCAAGUCUGUACAAUUACGCUAUUAAUGCUGAAAAUGAUUCCUAUAAGCUUUCAUUUAAGAUGAUGAGAAAUUUAGAUAUCUUUAUGAAAACUUCAAAAGAAAAAUUGGCGAUGAAUCUUUUUUAUGAUAAUAGCGAAUGUGAGAAUUGAAAUAUGUACCACAAACAUACUUUCACGCACAUAUUGUCGAUGCAAGCGUACAUUGACGAAUAAGGGGCCCUGUAAUCUCGACUAUCUCGUAGGUUUGCUGCACAUUUAACAGUCAGCAUGCAGUCAUCCAACUAUUAUGUCAUUCGGAACCUAUAAGAAUAGAUCUACAACAGUGGUUCUCAAAUUAUUCUUUAUGAAUUUGGGAGAUGAAAAUUAUAACACAAAUCAGUCCACUAUUAAUUUUUAUAAAACGACAUUCUGCAUUUAUUAUUAUAAAAAUUUAUAUUUUUACAACUCAUGAAAACUCGUCGUAACAGUAAAUAAAAUUAUAACAUAAUUUAAUUAAGUACAAAACUAAAGAUAUAAUACGUUUAAAAAUUAACAUAUAUAUAGGAUUGUGUGAAUUCAAAUUCUCAAAAUCUUAAUCUUAAUUUAUAUUACCAUGAUUUUGAGUUUGUCAAUUUUAUUAAGAAUCGAUUUCGAUCAUUUUCCUAUAUAUCGAAAAACAUAACCUAUAAUAUAGAUGAUACUCUAAAGUUUAACAACCAAAUUUUCUAAUUAUACUCCAUGACUAUGAUUAAUAAAAGAAUAUUAUAUAAACACAAAA